UACGUAGGGUGCAAGCGUUGUCCGGAAUUAUUGGGCGUAAAGAGCUCGUAGGCGGUUUGUCGCGUCUGCUGUGAAAUCCCGAGGCUCAACCUCGGGCCUGCAGUGGGUACGGGCAGACUAGAGUGGCGGUAGGGGAGAUUGGAAUUCCUGGUGUAGCGGUGGAAUGCGCAGAUAGUCAGGAGGAACACCGAUGGCGAAGGCAGAUCUCUGGGCCGUAACUGACGCUGAGGAGCGAAAGCGUGGGGAGCGAACAGG
rnacentral:rRNA from 1 species